UACCAAAAUAAUUUCAAUUGUUCGGAUAAAAUGUGUUAUAGAACUAGAAAGUCAUCGUUUAUAUUGUUAAUGGCAUUUUGGCGUUAAAUAUGUUUGAAGUCAUAGGUACCCGUGAAUGGCCGUAAUUGUGUAAUGCUGUUGGAUUGAAGUGAACCACAAGUGACAAAAUGUAUCUAAAACCACGACUACAGCUACAUCCAGGGGAAGCAAUAACCUUUCUGAAAUAUUUAAGGAGGUGACAACAUUUUUAAGCGAGUAGAAAUCCCGAGAAAUUUUAAGGCAAAUAGCAGUUCCAGUAAUACAAAGUAUGACCACCUGAUACGGUACCAAUCAUUAAUAUUUAUUUUAUUCAGGGUUCAUAUGGCGAUUGCUUCCGAAUUGGGUCCCGAAUUUAAAAUUACUACACUAGUUGGGUCCCGAAUUAUUUUAGG